rnacentral:tRNA from 1 species
GGUGAGGUGCCGGAGAGGCCAAUCGGCCAGGUCUCGAAAACCUUGGGAGGCGCAAGUCUCACGCGAGUUCGAAUCUCGCCCUCACCG